rnacentral:rRNA from 1 species
UAUAAAGAACAGGAUUAGAUACCCCAGUAUUCAGAGCAGACAAUGAUGAGUGUCAUAGAUAAGUAAGUAAUAUAUUAACUAAUAAAAAGCUAAUCAUAUUAUAUUGCAUAUGUAUAAAUGAAAGUGUAAGCACUCCACCUUAAGAGUAACAUGGCAACAUAGGAACUGAAAUCAUUAGACCGUUUCUGAAACCAGUAGUGAAGUAUGUUGUUUAGUAAUUUGAUAACCCACAAAGAACCUUACCACGGUUUGUAUAAGUUUCUUAAUAAGGAAUUUACAAGAGUUGCACGGCUGUCUUCAGUUGAUAUCGUGAGAUUUUGGUUAGCUCCAUUUAAUCAACGUAAACCCUUACUUUAUUUUUUAUAAAGUGGUUCGCCGAUAUAUUGGCUAAG